GGGGGCGUCGCGCAUACCAUGCAAGUCGAGCGGGCAUGCAAUAUGUCAGCGGCAGACGGGUGAGUAACGCGCUGGGAACGUACCUUUUGGUUCGGAACAACUGAGGGAAACUUCAGCUAAUACCGGAUAAGCCCUUACGGGGAAAGAUUUAUCGCCGAAAGAUCGGCCCGCGUCUGAUUAGCUAGUUAGAGGAUCUCACCGGUGAGGAUUAGCUCACUCCCUAUAUCUCCUUUGAGGUACCCCCCUCUCUACAGCCCUCCACAAUCUGUAUUUCUGCUUUCCCCCCCCCCUCCUAAAAAC
rnacentral:rRNA from 1 species